rnacentral:rRNA from 1 species
UACGAACCGUCCAAACGUUACUCGGAAUCACUGGGCUUAAAGGGUGCGUAGGCCGCGCGGCGGGUGGGAUGUGAAAUCCCCCGGCUCAACCGGGGAAUAGCGUCCCAAACCGCCGUGCUCGAGGGAGACAGAGGUGAGCGGAACUGAUGGUGGAGCGGUGAAAUGCGUUGAUAUCAUCAGGAACACCAGUGGCGAAAGCGGCUCACUGGGUCUUUCCUAACGCUGAGGCACGAAGCUAGGGGAGCGAACGGG